rnacentral:tRNA from 2 species
GCAUUCUUGGCCCAGUUGGAUGGAGCAACAACCUCCUAAGUCGAUGGUCACAGGUUCGACCCCUGUAGAAUGC